CCUACGGGUGGCAGCAGUCGAGAAUCAUUCACAAUGGGGGAAACCCUGAUGGUGCGACGCCGCGUGGGGGAAUGAAGUUCUUCGGAUUGUAAGCCCCUGUCAUGUGGGAGAAAAUUAAAACGAUCGUACCACAAUAUGAAGAGGCGACUAACUCUGUGCCAGCAGCCGCGGUAAUACGGAGGUCUCAAGCGUUGUUCGGAAUCACUGGGCGAAAGGGGUGCGGAGGCGGGUUCGUAAGUAGGGAGUGAAAGGCGCGGGCUCAACCCGCGGACUGCAAAUGAUACUGCGAGACUAGAGUAAUGGAGGGGGAACCGGAAUUCUCGGUGUAGCAGUGAAAUGCGUAGAUAUCGAGAGGAACACUCGUGGCGAAGGCGGGUUGCUGGACAUUAACUGACGCUGAGGCACGAAGGCCAGGGGAGCGAAAGGGAUUAGAUACCCUUGUAGUC
rnacentral:rRNA from 1 species